rnacentral:rRNA from 1 species
AUCUAAGUACCCCGAGGAAAAGAAAUCAACCGAGAUUCCCCCAGUAGCGGCGAGCGAACGGGGAGGAGCCCAGAGCCUGAAUCAGCAUGUGUGUUAGUGGAAGCGUCUGGAAAGGCGCGCGAUACAGGGUGACAGCCCCGUACACAAAAGCGCAUGUGCUGUGAGCUCGAUGAGUAGGGCGGGACACGUGGUAUCCUGUCUGAAUAUGGGGGGACCAUCCUCCAAGGCUAAAUACUCCUGACUGACCGAUAGUGAACCAGUACCGUGAGGGAAAGGCGAAAAGAACCCCGGCGAGGGGAGUGAAACAGAACCUGAAACCGU